rnacentral:hammerhead_ribozyme from 1 species
AUCUAGCUGACGAGUCCCAAAUAGGACGGAACGCGCGUCAAACUGGAU